CAGUAGCCGCGGGAAAACGAAGGGUGCAAGCGUUACUCGGAAUUACUGGGCGUAAAGCGUGCGUAGGUGGUGGUUUAAGUCCGUUGUGAAAGCCCUGGGCUCAACCUGGGAAUUGCAGUGGAUACUGGGUCACUAGAGUGUGGUAGAGGAUAGUGGAAUUUCCGGUGUAGCAGUGAAAUGCGUAGAGAUCGGAAGGAACAUCUGUGGCGAAGGCGACUAUCUGGGCCAACACUGACACUGAGGCACGAAAGCGUGGGGAGCAAACAGGAUUAGAUACCCCUGUAGUCCCUGUCUCUUAACA
rnacentral:rRNA from 1 species